AACGAACGCUGGCGGCAGGCCUAACACAUGCAAGUCGAGCGAGGACUUCGGUCCUAGCGGCGGACGGGUGAGUAACGCGUGGGAACGUGCCCUUUGCUUCGGAAUAGCCCUGGGAAACUGGGAGUAAUACCGGAUGAGCCCUUUGGGGGAAAGAUUUAUCGGCGAAGGAUCGGCCCGCGUUGGAUUAGGUAGUUGGUGGGGUAAUGGCCUACCAAGCCGUCGAUCCAUAGCUGGUUUGAGAGGAUGAUCAGCCACACUGGGACUGAGACACGGCCCAGACUCCUACGGGAGGCAGCAGUGGGGAAUCUUAGACAAUGGGGGAAACCCUGAUCUAGCCAUGCCGCGUGAGCGAUGAAGGCCUUAGGGUUGUAAAGCUCUUUCAGCUGGGAAGAUAAUGACGGUACCAGCAGAAGAAGCCCCGGCUAACUCCGUG
rnacentral:rRNA from 1 species